rnacentral:rRNA from 1 species
UACGUAGGGGGCUAGCGUUGUCCGGAAUCAUUGGGCGUAAAGAGCGCGUAGGCGGCCAGAUAAGUCCGGUGUGAAAGUCAAAGGCUCAACCUUUGAAUGCCGCUGGAAACUGUCUGGCUAGAGUCCGGGAGGGGCGAGUGGAAUUCCUGGUGUAGCGGUGAAAUGCGCAGAUAUCAGAAGGAACACCAAUGGCGAAGGCAGCUCGCUGGAACGGUACUGACGCUGAGGCACGAAAGCGUGGGGAGCAAACAGG